AAUCAACGCUGGCGGCGCGCUUAACACAUGCAAGUCGCACGAGAAAGUGGAGCAAUCCAUGAGUACAGUGCGCACGGGUGAGUAACACGUGGGUAACCUGCCCUUGAAUGGGGAAUAACCCGGGGAACCUGGGCUAAUACCGCAUACGCUCCUUUUGGCUCACGCCAGGGGGAGGAAAGGCGCAAGCCGUUCGAGGAGGGGCCCGCGGCCGAUUAGCUAGUUGGUAGGGUAAUGGCCACCAAGGCUUUGAUCGGUAGCCGGCCUGAGAGGGCACACGGCCACACUGGCGACU
rnacentral:rRNA from 1 species